CGGAGUAACGCGUGGAUAACCUGCCUCACACUGGGGGAUAACAGUUAGAAAUGACUGCUAAUACCGCAUGAGCGCACAGUACCGCAUGGUACAGUGUGAAAAACUCCGGUGGUGUGAGAUGGAUCCGCGUCUGAUUAGCCAGUUAGCGGGGUAACGGCCCACCAAAGCGACGAUCAGUAGCCGACCUGAGAGGGUGACCGGCCACAUUGGGACUGAGACACGGCCCAA
rnacentral:rRNA from 1 species